rnacentral:rRNA from 1 species
UACGAAGGGGGCUAGCGUUGCUCGGAAUCACUGGGCGUAAAGGGUGCGUAGGCGGGUUUUUAAGUCAGAGGUGAAAUCCUGGAGCUCAACUCCAGAACUGCCUUUGAUACUGAGAAUCUUGAGUUCGGGAGAGGUGAGUGGAACUGCGAGUGUAGAGGUGAAAUUCGUAGAUAUUCGCAAGAACACCAGUGGCGAAGGCGCUCACUGGCCCGGUAUUGACGCUGAGGCGCGAAAGCCAGGGGAGCAAACGGG